rnacentral:rRNA from 1 species
CAGCAGCCGCGGUAAUACGUAGGGGGCUAGCGUUGUCCGGAAUUACUGGGCGUAAAGGGUGAGUAGGCGGUUAUAUAUGUCAGGUGUAAAAGACUAUGGCUUAACCAUGGUAUGCACUUGAAACUGUAUGACUUGAGUGCAGGAGAGGUAAGUGGAAUUCCUAGUGUAGCGGUGAAAUGCGUAGAUAUUAGGAGGAACAUCAGUAGCGAAGGCGACUUACUGGCCUGCAACUGACGCUGAGUCACGAAAGCGUGGGUAGCAAACAGGAUUAGAUACCCUGGUAGUCCACGCCGUAAACGAUGAGUGCUAGGUGUUGGGUAGCGAUAUUCAGUGCCGUAGCAAACGCAAUAAGCACUCCGCCUGGGGAGUACGUACGCAAGUAUGAAACUCAAAGGAAUUGACGGGGACCCGCACAAGCAGCGGAGCAUGUGGUUUAAUUCGAAGCAACGCGAAGAACCUUACCAAGGCUUGACAUCCCCUUGACCGGUGCAGAAAUGUACCCUCCUCUUCGGAGGCAAGGGUGACAGGAGGUGCAUGGCC